CGCUGGCGGCAUGCUUUACACAUGCAAGUCGAACGGCAGCGCGGGGCAACCUGGCGGCGAGUGGCGAACGGGUGAGUAAUAUAUCGGAACGUACCCAAGAGUGGGGGAUAACGUAGCGAAAGUUACGCUAAUACCGCAUACGAUCUAAGGAUGAAAGUGGGGGAUCUUCGGACCUCAUGCUCCUGGAGCGGCCGAUAUCUGAUUAGCUAGUUGGUGAGGUAAAGGCUCACCAAGGCGACGAUCAGUAGCUGGUCUGAGAGGACGACCAGCCACACUGGGACUGAGACACGGCCCAGACCCCUACGGGAGGCAGCAGUGGGGAAUUUUGGACAAUGGGCGCAAGCCUGAUCCAGCAAUGCCGCGUGAGUGAAGAAGGCCUUCGGGUUGUAGAGCUCUUUUGUCAGGGAAGAAACGGCUCAGGCUAAUAUCCUGGGCUAAUGACGGUACCUGAAGAAUAAGCACCGGCU
rnacentral:rRNA from 1 species